GAUGGAUUGCUCAGUUGGUUAGAGAAUGGUGCUGAUAACGCCAAGGUUGCAAGUUCAAUCCCUGUUUCAGACA